UUCCUUCUGAGUCCCUACAUACAAUGCCUAUUCCAGAUUUAAAUAUUUGUUUGUCAAAGGCCCCAUCAAAAUUUAUUUUGAUUUCAUCUGGUUGGUUCAAGUGGUCUCCACUGUUCUUCUACUAUCCUUUGACCCAAUAAUUUGUGGUGUACCUCUUCCCAUUCCCUCAUAUAUUUGUAAAUAAGAAAAACUGUGUCCUCCACUGAUUAGACUUUUUUCUCGUGCAGGAUCUUGUUUCUCCUUGACCAAAUUGCCCAAAUGCUACAAAAAAUAGUCUUAUUCUAUAUUCUUGUAUUGCACAAUCCCUGAAGGCAUGUUCCGUCGAUAAUGUAUCUGUUAUGCAGCAAGGGCAUAUAGCUGUAUUGCAAAUCCGCUUAUGGUGUAGACUGCCCAUAGUUGGAAUGUAUCCAUUGUACAUCCGCCAGUUUGUAAUCUUUAAUUUUCCUGGCAAGUUUGUUUGCUAUAUUUUUUUAUAGAAAAAUUUACCAAUGUUUGUAUCAUUAUUUAUAACACUAUCUAGGUUAGGUUCCUCUUUUGUUAACCAUCUGUAAUCGCUCCUCACUGUAUAUUCUCCUAAUGGUUCACCACUCCAAAUUCUAGAGUCGUCUUGUUGGUGUUGUGCCGAAGGAAUUCUAAGUAUUGCAGCAGCCUCCUCGCUUCCAAAUAAGUUGGUUCCUAACUCUAUGGUUCCUAAAUGAUUCUUUAAUUCUAUAUUCCCCAAGCAUCUUGCCAGGUUGAUAUGUGGUCUCCCCUACCCACCCUCCAAGCCAUCCCCUCCCCUAGUAGUUUCUUUUUUGUCCUAUGCUCCUCUAGGUAUAUGAAAGGUAAUUUACUAAUUCUGCCUGCAAAAAUUCAUUGUUGGGAAAAUAUUUAGCUUUUAAAGUUCUUGUUAAUAACGAAUUUGCGUACUCCAUUAAUCUCCAACAUUGUUUUACAAGAAGGGCUAUAUUCAAUUUGGCAAGAUUCCUAAA